AGAGUUUGAUCCUGGCUCAGAACGAACGCUGGCGGCAGGCUUAACACAUGCAAGUCGAACGCACCGCAAGGUGAGUGGCAGACGGGUGAGUAACGCGUGGGAACGUGCCCUUCAGUUCGGGAUAACCCAGGGAAACUUGGGCUAAUACCGGAUACGUGCGAGAGCAGAAAGAUUCAUCGCUGAAGGAUCGGCCCGCGUCUGAUUAGCUAGUUGGUAGGGUAAUGGCCUACCAAGGCGACGAUCAGUAGCUGGUCUGAGAGGAUGAUCAGCCACAUUGGGACUGAGACACGGCCCAAACUCCUACGGGAGGCAGCAGUGGGGAAUAUUGGACAAUGGGCGCAAGCCUGAUCCAGCCAUGCCGCGUGAGUGAUGAAGGCCUUAGGGUUGUAAAGCUCUUUCGUCCGGGACGAUAAUGACGGUACCGGAAGAAGAAGCCCCGGCUACUUCGUGCCAGCAGCCGCGGUAAUACGAAGGGGGCUAGCGUUGUUCGGAAUCACUGGGCGUAAAGGGCGCGUAGGCGGCCUGAUAAGUCGGGGGUGAAAGCCUGUGGCUCAACCACAGAAUUGCCUUCGAUACUGUCGGGCUUGAGACCGGAAGAGGUAAGUGGAACUGCGAGUGUAGAGGUGAAAUUCGUAGAUAUUCGCAAGAACACCAGUGGCGAAGGCGGCUUACUGGUCCGGUUCUGNNNNUGAGGCGCGAAAGCGUGGGGAGCAAACAGGAUUAGAUACCCUAGUAGUCC
rnacentral:rRNA from 1 species